UACGUAGGGGGCAAGCGUUGUUCGGAAUUACUGGGCGUAAAGGGCGCGUAGGCGGCCUUCUAAGUCGAACGUGAAAUCCCCGGGCUCAACCCGGGAACUGCGUCCGAUACUGGAAGGCUUGAAUCCGGGAGAGGGAUGCGGAAUUCCAGGUGUAGCGGUGAAAUGCGUAGAUAUCUGGAGGAAUACCGGUGGCGAAGGCGGCAUCCUGGACCGACAUUGACGCUGAACGGCGAAAGCUAGGGGAGCAAACGGG
rnacentral:rRNA from 1 species